UACGUAGGUGGCAAGCGUUGUCCGGAUUUACUGGGCGUAAAGGGCGUGCAGGCGGUCUGCUAAGUCUAGUGUGAAAGCCCCCGGCUCAACUGGGAGAGGUCCUUGGAUACUGGCGGACUUGAGGGAGGUAGAGGAGAGUGGAAUUCCCGGUGUAGUGGUGAUAUGCGUAGAUAUCGGGAGGAACACCAGUGGCGAAGGCGACUAUCUGGGCUGCAACUGACGCUGAGGCGCGAAGGCUAGGGUAGCAAACAGG
rnacentral:rRNA from 1 species